GAAAGACCUGACCGUCCCCCAGCCCGACACCCGUAAAGGGUCUGUGCUGAGGAGGAUUAGUAUAAGAGGAAGGCAUGCCUCUUUGCAGUUGAGACAAGAGGAAGGCAUCUGUCUCCUGCCCAUCCCUGGGCAAUGGAAUGUCUCCGUAUAAAACCCGAUUGUAUGCUCCAUCUACUGAGAUAGGGGAAAACCGCCUUAGGGCUGGAGGUGGGACAUGCGGGCAACAAUACUGCUCUGUAAGGCAUUGAGAUGUUUAUGUGUAUGCAUAUCUAAAGCACAGCACUUAAUUCUUUACCUUGUCUAUGAUGCAGAGACUUUUGUUCACGUGUUUAUCUGCUGACCUUCUCUCCACUAUUAUCCUAUGACCCUGCCACAUCCCCCUCUCUGAGAAACACCCAAAAAUGAUCAAUAAAUACUAAGGGAACUCUGAGGCUGGCGGGAUCCUCCAUAUGCUGAACGCUGGUUCCCUGGGUCCCCUUAUUUCUUUCUCUAUACUUUGUCUCUGUGUCUUUUUCUUUUCCAAGUCUCUCGUUCCAGCUAAUGAGAAACACCCACAGGUGUGGAGGGGCAACCCACCCCUUCACAAAGCUAUUUCCAUCUGUAAACCAUUCUACUUUGGGAUUAUCUAGAGGCUCAUCUUUUAAAUGUGGACGGCUAGAGUAAACUUGCUCCAUAACUUGUAUCCAAGAAUGAUCUGGGGUGCCUGUGGGUUCAGGCAAGUAGGUAGCUGGAUUAAAAUCUGGCAUACUUUAAGUGUUGUAUCAGGAGCAUCUAGCAACAAAGCCUGGUAUUUAUUCACAGGAAAGGAGAAGAAGCAUUUUCUGUCUGCCUUGUCAUUUCCAAAACAUACUACUGUUUGCAGCUGAGUUAAUAAACCCCUUCCCAACAAGGGUGGGGCAUUCAGGAGAAAACCAAAGUCCCUGAAGAGCAGCUUAUAGGAUAGGUAAAAUGGCAUCUAUGGGCCUGUCUAUCCCCUUGACCAUAGAGUUUUGGGAUGACAGAGGCCCAUUAUAAUGGGUCAAAACAGAGUAAGCAUUCUAGAAGGAAGUUAAUAUUAUUACCUGUCAUGUCAAGGGUUAUCUGAGGCUUCUCAGAAGAUAUGGCUAGUUGUCCGACGGGAGGUGUAGCGGAAGGUCUUGGGCCCCGUCACUCUUGGGCUUCCCUGGUUAUUUUGGCAUCUGGUUUGGGUGCAGAUGGCUGCUGUAAGGUACAUGGAUGUGCUUUGGUCAAGGAAUAGCCGAGGCAGAUAUCCAGGCCUGCAUGACUCAGUGAGACUGCUGCACAGGCACUCACCUCCACUUGUUAUAUAACCUGUUUGUGUAAGCUCAUACUUGGCUCUACACCACUACUGUCUGUAAAAGGAAUAACUGCCCUGCUGACACUGUGCACGGGGACUCAACAUGGCUCAGCAUCGCUCUUGUGCAGGCACUGGUGCUCAGAAAGAGAGUGAAGCUACUGACCCCUGUAAGGGAGAAUGACUGUCUGACAGGUGGAUAGAGGGGAGCCAGGACAUGGCUCAGCUUGUGCCCAGAGAGAAAGGUUAAGCUACUGAUCUUAGAGCUGGCCUUGCAGACCAGUUGUGCAGCUGUGAGUGGGAGCUAGCUGCUGAGAGGGUCCAGAGUCAGAGCAGACAGCCAAGAUAAAGGCGAACAGUAUAAAAGAGCUAGUGUGAGAGAACUGCUGAUGAGAGAGCUGCUGAAUAAAACUACAUUUCACCUGUCUACACCGCCCCGAAUGUUCUUUCAGCUAUUCAUCUAUCCAUCCACUCCUCUCAGACCUCAUCAUGGGCUGCACCCUAACCCUGAGCAUGACAUUUGUCAUAGUCACGGCCCUGGACCUAACAGCUCCCUUUGGAGGAAGACUGGGCAAUCCCUCUUCCAAUGACCAGUUUCCUUACAGUGUGCACACUGAUUCAUGCCCAAAACACGCUGACUUGGACAUCCAGCUCUGGGCUUCUCACAUUUCAGCUUCCCUUCUUCACUCCAAGAGCCAGGAAAGAAACUCUAUGUAGGAGGUGAGCUUAAGGCUGCAGCCAAGAGCUGCACCUUGUGGGAGGUCCUUCUUGCUCCUCUUUCUGCUUCCUGUGCUUUGUCCCCGUUAUUAAAAACUAAAAAUGCCAUAUCCAAAAGCUGUUUAAUAGGAGUCUAGGGACACAUAGUCACAUAGUGUGUUUUUGUUUUUUUUUUUUUAGACACAGUCUCGCUCUGUCACCCAGGCUGGAGUGCAAUAGCGUGAUCUGGGCUCACUGCAACUUCCACCUCAUGGGUUCAAGCAAUUCUCCUGCCUCAGCCGCCCAAGUAGGUGAGAUUACAGGCACUUGUCACCAUCCCCAGCUAAUUUUUGUAUUUUUAGUAGAGAAGGGGUUUCACCAUGCUGGCCAGGCUGGUCUUGAACUCCUGACCUCAAGUGAUCCACCCCCCUCAGCCUCCCAAAGUGCUGGGAUUACAGGCUUGAGCCACCACGCCCGGCUCCCAUAGCUGCUUUUUGUAGUUUCCUGGGGAUAUCAGGGGCAGACUGGGUCAUAAAAUGUCCUCCCAAAAGGGUUUGUCUCUCCUUUGAGGCAGGAUCAGUGAUAUUAUACUUCCCGAUUGCUUCAACUAAAUGCCCUUGAAACAAACCUGGAUUCUCAUCUUUAUCCUGAGAAUCUUCCUUAACCUGUUCAUAGAUAACAGGCUUUUUCAUACAUUUCUUCAUCCCUUCCAACGAACAAGUGACCAUAUGAUCUCUCCUCCCCAAGUGCUCACUGCGCCUUUGAUAAUUCCACUCUGCAUCUUGAUCUGGAACUGCUAUACUUCCUGCCUGAUACAUAGUAUGGUACGGGUUGCGAGCCAAUACCUCAUCUGCAUGGGUCCUAGCUGUCCCCAAAAUGCAUUGUUUCUCCUCCACUGUACAACACAGAGACAACAAAACAUGCAGAUCCUCCCAAGUUAAACUAUAGGUCAGAGUUGAUUUCUCAAACUCAUCUACAAAUUUUCCUGGAUCUUCAGAGAAAUGACCAACCUUCUCUAUAUAUAGGGUCAAACCAGACGGAGAAAAGGGAACAUGUACUCUCACAGUGCCCUCUUCCCGAUUUGCCACCUAAGUGGACAAAGAUUUCCCUUUGGAGGUUGAUAGCAGGCUGCACUAUAAGUAGUACUCGGUGGGCUAAGUUCUUUGUGGGAAUGGUGGGUACAGAGUGGGACUAGCUGGGUAAGGAGAAGGGACGAAGGGUUCUCAAGAACUUUCAGGUGGACUACAGGGAGAAAGAACUGACACAUACGAACCUUCAGAGCUGACAGAAAGGGGUUCCGCUCCACCCAAAAAUGCCUGCUGAACCACAGCAGGGCUUGCAUUAAAGGAUCACCUAGUAUGUCUAAAUCUUUUUCUUCUUUUCCUCUCAUCAAACAUGAUUCACAUUAUCCAAAUAACAUAAGUGAGCUGAGCUAUGAAUCUUAGAUAAACCACAACAUGGACUUUGAAAAAAAUGUCGAAUAAGGCAAAAUAAAUGAAGAGGAUUUAGAUGGGAACAACCAGAGUAACCAAUAACAGCAGUGAGGAUUGGAAAAGCAAAGCAAACACGGUUUGCCCGAAUCCAAGAAAAGAAAGUUUUUUUAUUUUCUUUUGAGACAGAGUCUCGCUCUGUUGAGAAGACUGCUGGAGUGCAGUGGUGCAAUCUCAGCUAACUGCAAACUCUGACUCCUAGAUUAAAGCGAUUCUCCUGACUCAGCAUCCCAAGAAGCUGGGAUUACAGAUGUCUGCCACUACACCCGGGUAAUGUUUGUAUUUUUAGUAGAGACGGGGUUUCAACACGUUGGCCAGGAUGGUCUCGAACUCCUGAUUUCAGGUGAUCUGCCUGCCUCGGCCUCCCAAAGUGCUGGGAUUACAGGUGUGAGCCACCGCACUUAGCUACAAAGGAGAUUUUUUAGUGUGCAAAACCAAACAAAACAGCAAGGAGAAAAGUCCCCUGAUUUCCAUCCUAGUGCUUCUCAAUCACACUCAGCACAGCAGCAACAAAACACAACCACAUCUAUCGAAUCUUACUGCUCAUAGCUGUUAAAUAUCAAAUCUCAAUCAGCAAUUUUAGAGCCGGAUCCUCCAAUGCUUUUGGUUCCCAGUGUUUCACAAGCAAACGGACAGAAAUCGGGAGGGACAUAGGAGAAGAAUCAGUUAAAAUCCCUAAGACCAGUUAAAUGAAGUCUCCUGAAAAUGACACUGAAACGGAGACAGCAACCAAGACAAGGAGGACGAGGCAGACUAAUACAAAGAGCAUAGCCUGCGGUGUCAAACCUGUUUUUUAGCCGAGAGGGGCUUUACUGGGAGGGGCCUCUAACCCUCCUCGGUCGGGCCUCUAACCCGAGGUCGGUCAAGUGUCCUUGCCUUUUAUUAAGAGGGGCCUCUAACCCACUCUCUUUUAGGAAAGACUCUAACUCCAUUAAGUUGGGCCUCUAACCCAAUCCCAUUCUUUACCCGGGCACUCCACCACUUACCCAAAGUCAGUCUACUGACUACUGCAGUGCUGCAGUCUACUUCCUUUGGGUUGGGGGAGUUUCUUCAGUAUCGUCCCUUCCAUCAUUCGCCAGAAAUAUGUUAUAGGACCCCAACACUUCCCCAAAGCACUAUAGUCCCAUCUGUGGUGGCCAGAAAUACGUCACAGGAAAAGGGCCCCGAUCCAGACCCAAAGAGAGGGUUCUUGGGUCUCGCGCAAGAAAUAACUCAGGGCAAGUCCGCGGUGCAAAAUAAAAGCAAGUUUAUUAAGAAAGUAAAGUGGUGAAAGAACAGCUACUCCACAGACAGAGAAGGGCGUUCCUGAAACUAAGAGAAGGAACGUAUCCACCCUAGGUACAAUGCUUGUACACAUGGGGAGAGGUGUUCUGUUACAAGGGUUUGUGAUAAUUAACUUUAAUUAUUACAUUUUGCAAGAAUCCCUAUUACUACCUUUAAAGCAAAAUUAGGAACGCCUUUGUUCUCCAGAUAUCCAGCUAUCUGGACACUCGGGUCUCUUCAGUAAACAUUAAUUUGUUCCCUUAACCGUAAGUAUCUGAAAGCUAGGAAUAUCCUUCUGAGAAUGCAGGCCCGUAAGUCCCGGCCUCAUUUUUCUAGCCCUCACUCAAAAUGGGGUCGCUUCAGGUUCCAACGUCUCUGACAGUCAUACUACAUAUGACUCAGCCACGUCAAUGGAAAAAGUAGACUGGAUAGUGACGUACCCGCAGAAAACGAAUGCAACAAUCUGUCAUACAGAUCUGACGGCAGUCAGAUUCUGCAGUGAAGUAGAGGCGGUAAACUUGAAUGCAACGAUCUUCAUACCGCAUCCCACAAAGCCACGUAAAUCCAAAAGCAGUCCGACUCUCGAUAGUGAAACACAUGCGGUAAACUUGAAUGGAAAGAUGUUUAUACUGCCUCGGAUAGAGACACGUAAAUGAAAAAGCAGUCCCACUUGGGAUAGUGAAGUAUGGGCGCUCAACUUAAAUAGGACCGUCCGCAUAUCGUAUGUGAGUGAAGCAAGUAAUAGCAAAGGGCAGUCAGAUUACGGAGACCGAUGGCGACUGAAGUGAGUGCAGUAACCUUUAACUCAAUGAUCGUCACGCCGCAACCAAGUGAAACCGAAAGCAACUAAGCGCUCGAAAGCACGCCCGGCCAGCUCAAAAACUACGGCGCUGAUGGACCCCAGUGAUCCGACGUAAAGGUGCAAACGUAAAGCGCACACGGCCAAUUUAAAAGCAGCGGCGCUGAUAGGCCCGGACGAACCGACGUGAACGCGUAGAAGUAAGGUACGCGCGAUGAGCUUAAAUACGCGAGUACUAAGAGACCGUGAAACCCGGAUUUAAGCGUGUAAACGCAACACACAACCUAGGAGGUCAGUAACAACGGUCCCAACUGAUGCAAAUGGCCCAAUGCAAACACGUUGACAAUCUCCCGUUAGCGACAGUAACAGACGCUAAGCGCCCAAUGCGAACAAAACUCCCGCUUCGAAAACUACACCUCGGAAUCCUUCCAGCGAUCAAGGGCCAGCAACACCACAAGCCUUCCACUGUAUCAACACCGUUUUCAAAACGAAAAUGUUAACGAUCGGCCACUGUACUCCUUCUCCCACACAUCCUAACCUCAGGGUGACAGAUAGCACCCUGAAUAACUCUCUCUCCUACGUUGAGAUUGUGUAUCUUUAUCCAAAUCUGAACACCUGCGUAAGUAAUAUUGUUACUAUUUUGGAGGAUAUUCACUUUCCUUUUUUGCUCCCAUAACUCCCGAGAGAAGCAGCCAUUUUAAAUUUGCAUGCCCCGCCGUGCCCUGCCUGCCAACCACUGAACAGAAAAGCGCCUGUAAAUCACUGGAAUCUUGGGAAAGCUCCUUCGGCUUCAUUGCCCUUCAGGAGGAAAAACCCACAACGGAAAAGACACGAAGAGCUCUAGGAGGCUCUUCUUUCCUCCUCCUCCCCCUCCCCUUCCCCUCCCCUCUCCCUCCGCCUCCCUUCCCCUCCGCAUCCCCUCCCCCUCCCUUCCCCCUCCCCCUCCCCAUCUCGUCCUGACCUAGCUGGCAUCCAACAUUACUUUAAACUUUUUUUCACACAUACGUUGAAAGAAUUGUUUGGUGAACACCCGUAUGCCCAUCACCUAAAGUCAUCUUGCUGUACUUGCUUUAUUACAUGUGUUACAGACGUCUAAUUACAUUUUUUUUUUCUUUUUUUUGAGAGGGAGUCUCGCUCUGCCGCCCAGGCUGGAGUGCGGUGGCGCGAUCUCGGCUCACUGCAAGCUCCGCCUCCCGGGUUCACGCCAUUCUCCUGCCUCAGCCUCCCGAGGAGCUGGGACUACAGGCGCCCCCACUACGCCCAGCUAAUUUUUUGUAUUUUUUAGUAGAGACGGGGUUUCACCGUGUUAGUCAGGAUGGUCUCGAUCUCCUGACCUCAUGAUCCCCCGCCUGGGCCUCCCAAAGUGCUGGGAUUACAGGCUUGAGCCACCGCGCCCGGCAAUUACAUAUUUUGUAUAGCUGCACACAUGGAGACAGGUACUCAGGUCUCGUCCCUCUAGCCAUUUCUCAACUGUCUGGUCCGGCAAGGGCAAGUUUUCGAGGAGGCCAGGGUGCAGCCCUCAGGGGAGCACAUGCUCUGACUGGUUGCAGGGCUGGGCGGAGCCUUGGGAAAGGGGCCCCUGUAAGAGUUAAAGAAAGAGGAUAUAAACACGAAAAGAGUUUGGCUCUUGUUGCCCAGGCUGGAGUGCAAUGGAGCGAUCUCGGCUCACCACAAAGUCCGCUUGCCAGGUUCAAGUGGUUCUCCUGCUUCAGCCUCCCAAGUAGCUGGGAUUACAGGAGCGCGCCACCAUGCCCGGCUAAUUUUUGUAUUAUUGUAUUUUAUUUAUUUUUUUUUUUUAGAAGAGACACGGUUUCACCAUGUUGGCCAGGCUGGUCUCCAAAUCCUGACCUCAGGUGAUCCACCCGCCUCGGCCUCCCAAAGUGCUGGGAUUACAUGAGGUACCGCACCCAGCCCCACAUUACUAUCUUCAAAGCAAACUUGAAAGCAACGAUCUUCAUACCGCAUCCCACAAAGCCACGUAAAUCCAAAAGCAGUCCGACUCUGGAUAGUGAAACACAUGCGGGAAACUUGAAUGGAAAGAUGUUUAUACUGCCUCGGAUGGAGACACGUAAAUGAAAAAACAGUCCCGCUUGGGAUAGUAAAGUAGGGGCGCUAAACUUAAAUAUAACGAUCCGAAUAUCGCAUCUGAGUGUGCCAAGUAAUAGCAGAGACCAGUCAGAAUACGGAUACUGAUGUGGGUGCAGUAACAUUUAAUCCAAUGACCGUCACACCGCAUGUGACUAAACCAAGUGAAACCUAAAGCAGCCACACUCUCCAAAGUACGCGCUGCUGACUUAUACACAAGUGUGCUAACAGGCCCCGAAGAUCCGAUGCAAACGCGUGGAGGUAACGAAAGAAGCUCCCAUUCCACCUUGUCAGCAGACAGCGUUUGAAGAUCUCCUUUGCUGAUGUAACGCGAAAUAACAGUAACUGAUAGAGCAAGUUCCGCACUUAACCUGAGCCUAAACGACCAAGGCGCUGCCGGCAUUAGCGUUCGUCCACGGCCCUCCUCCUCUUAGAGCCAAGUGUAUUAAUAGGUCCCGACAAUCUGAGUGGAGAUGACAAGAGGCUCCCAUUCUAUGAGUGGAGAUAACAAGCUGAUGACGAAACCCGGGUGCUCCCCUCAUUGGCACCCAGCAGGCAGCACCGGCCCGCUCCCGGAGCCCUCCAUCCUGCGCUUUCCCAAACCCCCAUCAAAACACCAACCCAGUCUCCUCCCUCUCAAGCCAUUUUCCAACCUGCCUGGGAGCCACUCUGAUCUCCCAGAACACCUCAUUUUGUGAAUUAUAAACCUUUUCACACCUUCUCGGUCCCUGUGUGAUGUCACCAGUCUCGAUUUCCAAAAUAAAUUUGGGGUCAGUGGUGGGGCUGGGGUCCAUCUAGUUCUGCAGAGUGGGAACAGCACAGAAGCUACCGGACUUGCUGUGCGCAUAGUCCAAUUUGGGUGCAAAAGCCUCCCCACUGGACUGGGUGGCCUCUUAUCAGUGACAAAACCAAGGGAUUUGCUAGUCCCUCAUUUACACACUGGUUACUGAGUGCCUCCCGUUGAGUUGAACACUUUUACUUCCGGGGAAAAUUCGUUGUUCCAGACCAAGUUGACUACUGUCUUCACUGGACAUUCUAAGAGGUGCUUUUGGUCCCAGGGAAAUACCCCGGAAGCUGUGAAGUACAACAGCCUUAGGCCCUGUCCCAAAUAUUCUAAUUUAAUGGCUGUACGGUGGGGCUAGGACCUCAGGAUGAUUCACUCCACCGAGGUAUCCGGUCGUCCUGAAGUAUAGCCAAGGUUGAGAAGCACCGAUAGACACGGAAGAAUUUUCACUCCCCUUCAGCAAAGACCUUUGUAGGAACUUAAAAGAGGAACCAGGUGUACAGGCAGAACAUGAAAGUGGAAAGGAGCGUGGCCACUGAAGCACAGCACCACAGGGAGGGGUUUAGUCCUCCAGAUGACUGCGAGCAGGGCUGGAUAAUGUCAGACCUCCCACUAGAGCUGGUGGAGCAGAGUGUUCUCUAACUUCCCCCAAGGAAAGGGAAACUCCCUUUCCCGGUCCGCUAAGUAACGGGUGCCUUCCCAGGCACUGGCGCUACCGCUAGACCAAGGUGUCCUCAAGCGGCCUUUAUCAGGAUGUGAUAGAGGACUUUCACUCUUAUCUUCUGCUCACUUCUCACAAUGUCCCUUCAGCUCCUGACUCUGUAUUGGCUGGUCUUUCCUCGGUUAUAAUAAUAAUACAGAGAUUAAUACUAAAAACUAAUGAUUGAUAAUAUCCAUAUAUAAUCAUCUCUAUAUCCUAUUUCUUUUUCUUUUUUUUUUUUUUUUUGACAUGGAGUUUCACUCUGUCGCCCAGGCUGGAGUGCAGUGGCGUGAUCUCAGCUCACUGCAAGCUCCACCUCCUGGAUUCAUACCAUUCUCUCGCCUCAGCCUCCUGAGUAGCUGGGACUACAGGCGCCUGCCACCAUGCCUAGCUAAUUUUUUGUUUUUGUAUUUUUAGUAGAGACAGGGUUUCACCCUGUUAGCCAGGAUGGUCUCAAUCUCCUGACCUCGUGAUCCGCCCACCUUGGCCUCCCAAAGUGCUGGGAGCCACUGCAUCCAGCUCUAUUUCCUACUUCUAAUAUAACUUUUCUUAUUCUAACUAUUUUCUUUACUAUAUUGGAACAGGUUGUGCCCUCAGUCUCUUGCCUCAGCACCUGGGUAGGUUUCCGCCUACAUGUAACCAGUGACUUCAAAUAUUCUGUUUUAUCUAAGAAGUACAACGAAGGUCAUGAGAAGCCUGAGUAGGCCUGAACUACAGCUGCCUGGGCACCAUAGUGAAGGUUAUAGGAUAAGCCCAUGCCCAGACAAACCUAGAUAACGGACAUCUGGGUUACUUGGCAACAGUCAUGUGCAAUCCUGUCUUUGUCCUGCCUCUGUAUUGCUGCUUUUCACACCACUGUAAGCUUGCUUCAAGCUAGCCCACCACCUUCUGUGAAGUAUGUAUAAAAGUCAGAUGCUGUCUUUGUUCCGGGCCCAGUCUUUUGGACGUUGAGUCAGCUGGGCCUGAGUGCACUCAAUAAAGAUUCUAGUUUCAACCUGAGGUCUCUCUCGUCCUCCUGAAUCCUGCAACAUUUCCAGUAGAGACAGGAUUUCACCAUGUUGGCCAGACUGGCCUCAAACGCCUGACAUCAAGUGAUCUGCCCACCUCUACCUCUCAAAGUGCUGGGAUUACAUGCGUGAGCCACCAUGCUCUACCGUUUUCUUCCCUUUUUAAACAGAAUAAAACUCAUUAUGUCUUGCAAUGACCAUAUAGAUCUAUUGGUAGGCCCUCUUAUAACCUGUCAGCACCAUCCAGCCAAAGGCCACCAGGAACACACCUGUCAUGACAUGAGUUAGCUUUGAGGGAGAACGUUUUGCAUGCCACGGGGAACUGUGGGGCAAAUAAGUAAGAGGGUGUCAGGGAUGGUUUAUUACAGGAUUUGGGCAUGUGUUAGGUGGUUUGAGGAGUCCUUUCUCUGGGAUGCUCUCAGGAAGUGGGGGUAAUUCUAUGAUUGAGGAUCUUAACAAAUUUCACCAAGAAGGAGGGAAGAGUAGAGGAAGGCCAAAGCCGUAAUUGGCUAAAGUAGCAGCAGUCGAUCCUAUUAGCCAGGACAUGGGGUAUGGCCUGGCUGUGAAUCCCAGACCCACUUCUGGUUCUGCUUUUCUCUUUCCAAAAAUCCAAGACAUAUUGUGGGAUCUUAGCGGUCUUACUUCUUCUGCAUCUUGAAAUGAUUUGCUAUUUCAUCAUCCUGGGAAAUCUUCUGUAGUUAAUUCAUUGAUUCCCAAAAAUGACUUAAGAGUCUUCAAGAGGCCAGGCACGGUGGCUUAUGCCUUAAUCCCAGCACUUUGGGAGGCCGAGGCGGGCGGAUCAUGAGGUCAGGAGUUUGAGACCAGCCUGGCCAACAUAGUGAAACUGUGUCUCUACUAAAAAUACAAAAAUUAGCCGGGCAUGGUGGUGCAUGCCUAUAAUCCCAGCUACUCAGGAGGCUGAGGCAGGAGAAUCGCUUGAAUCUGAGAGGCGGAGGUUGCAGUGAGAGGAUUGUGCCACUGCACUGCAGCCUGGGUGACAGAUUGAGACUCUCUCAAAAAAAAAAAAAAAAAAAAAGAGGUGUAAGAAUUAAAGAGGAAAGAAACAUGAAAGGGGAUGGGCAGUGGGGAAGUGGAGUAACAUGUACCACAGAGUAACAGAGGGAGGGGUGGUAGAAGGUGAUUGGAGAGUGUGACCCUGGAAGUGGAUGGUGGAUGGCGUUAUGGCAUCAGCAAUGACAAGAUCUAGACUUAGACCAGGGAAGUGAGUGGCUGGGGUACGUAAGGCCUAGGUCAAGGAACUGGGGAACUGGGUGUCAACUGAUGACAGGAGUUAUGUUGGAAAGUGAGCCAGGAGCUAAAACCUUCAAGGAAUAAGUAAGUGUUGGCAUGAGUGUGACUGGCCACCAGGACAGAUGACAGCAAUAAAGGGAGGUAGUGGGCAGUAUGGGUACAAGGCACAAUGGAAUGAGGGGUGGGGAGAACCAACAGAGAAAGGAAAGCAAUCAAUGUCCUUAGUGGAGGAUAAAGCGAAAGAAGAAAGGAGGCUGGGAAUAGGGAGGACAGCAGGAAAAUGAGCAAGGUUUCAGGAAUCAGACACGGGAUAAGAGAUGAAGCUUCUUGUGCCUGACCCACACAGAGCAGAAAUGCAGAACUUCAGGGUCAUUCUACAGUGAGUGGCAGAUACAUGGAAGACAGCUGCAGCAUUAGUUCUUUGCACUCACUACCUGGGGGAUGUCACCUCUGUCCAAGUAUAAUGCCCAGGGGGUUCUCCUUGCCUGCUGCCUAAACAGAGCUGAUUCAUCAGAACAGGGGAAUUGCAAUAGAGAAAGAGUAAUUUGGCUGGGUGCAGUGGCUCACACCUGUAAUCCCAGCACUUUGGGAGGCCAAGGCAGGUGAAUCACCUAAGGUCAGGAGUUUGAGACCAACCUGGCCAACACAGUGAAACCCUGUCUGUACUAAAAAUACCAAAAAUUAGCCGGGCGUGGUGGCACGUGCCUAUAAUCCCAGCUAUUGGGGAGGCUGAGGCAGGAGAAUCGCUUGAACCUGAGAGGCGGAGGAUGCUGUGAGCCAAGAUCCUGCCAUUGCACUCCAGCCUGGGCAACGAAAGUGAAACUCCAUCUCAAAAAAGAAAGAGUAAUUCACGCAGGGCUGGCUGUGUGGGAGACCGGAGUUUUAUUAUUACCCAAAUCAGUCUACC
rnacentral:lncRNA from 1 species